rnacentral:lncRNA from 1 species
GUGGCUCUUGUAAUUUUACAAUCUGUAUUAUGAAAGCUUGAAAAUACAUUCUGGUUACUGAGGACUGAAUUCCCCAUGGGACAACACAUGUAGGAGACACCUGACACCACUGAAGUUUCUCUCAGAACAGACGGUCAUCAGAGGACAAAAGAAAUUCGUGACCAUAUUUUCUGGCGUCACCUAUAAAAUACUGAACUUGCAACAUUUUGAUCUUUUCUUUUUUUUUUUUUUUUCUUUUAUUAUUCAU